rnacentral:lncRNA from 1 species
AAAAACAAAUGUAUUUUGUUUAUUCAAAAAAUAUAUAUAUAUUAUGUUUAAAUAAUAAGAUGUAAUUUUUUCGAACAGUCAAACAAACAUGUUGAUUUUUUGAGACGCACUUUGCUAUCCUUCACCAACCUUUGCACUCAAUUAUUUGAAGGCACGACUUUGACAAGCAUUGACGAUUAGGAGCCAAUUACUACAUGUACCCCCUCAUUCUCAACAUUCAACCCAUUAUAGUUUGAAUGACUUUGAUGACAUUGAUUGCACUAAAAAAGAACCCGUACGCACCAGUGAAAAGUCCCUGCUCAAAAAAACGGAAGAGUACAAAUACGACAAAGAGUAAAGAUACAUCGAAUUCAAAAAUCCUAGAAAUUGAAGAAGAUAUUGCCAAGGUUGCUAAAAUAUUUAUAGAUAAGCAUGUUUCUUCAAAUCUAGGUGCAAAUACGGAAAGUUGAACAGACUGGGAUAGGGAAUAUUUGAUCAAUAAUACACUACAUCUAUUUUGCUUUUUAUUGAAUGUGAGGAUAAAAGACAAGUUUUAUUAACCAUUAAUCCACAUAUUUGUGAGACUUGGGUAUGGCGCAUCGGAGUACAUUAUGAAAUAUUGUGAUGUUUUAGAUUGAUCUUGAUGUUUUUUUUUAUUGAACUUUGAUGUUUUGGAUAUAUGUUACACGUUAUUAGUAUAAUUAUUAUCUAUUUAAAGAUUCACAUAUUGUUUAUGUGAUGAAAAAAUUGUAUUUUUCAUUUUAUUUUCUUAGUAUUGGCCAAGUCUAGCAUCCAAUAGACUUGGGAGACAAUUAAAACCGAUUCAGAAUUGAGCGGUCAUGCAUACACACAAUAAUUGUUACAUGGAACUUAUACACUUUGUUAUGAGCAGAUGCGUCUUUCAUGCGAAACAUACGUACUUUUAUACACAAUCAUUUUAGAAGAAAUUAUUGGUUGCAAAAUGGUAGGCAUAUAAGCAUUGAAAAAAAAGAUGGUUAUGUUCUUCACAAUUAUAAGACAUCCAACACUCCUAAAAAACUUUUCAUAGAUAUUUUCAUGAGGUUCGAAAUGCAAUGAUGAUUUUUUGCAAAAAGAAAUAUUUCCUGGAGUAAUAGGUACGUUAGAUGGAAGUUGUAUACGUAAUCAUGCCUUGCUGAUUAACAGGCUUGUUACAAAGGAAGUGGAUUUAUUACUCCUUACCGCAACAUGAGGUAUUGAUUCUCUGAUUAUCGACGACAACGUGCGUCAACUGAGGAAAGAUUCAAUCAUGCACACGUACAAUCUAGUAAUGAUAUUUUAAGCGAGCUUAUCGUAUUUUGAACGAGAGAUUCUCAAUCCUAAAGCAAGUGACUCCUUAUAGUUUUUUUAGGUGCAAAUAGACAUAGUCAUUGCUUAUUUCGCAGCCUAUAAUUUCAUAAGGAAAUGCAGUGAUGAUCAAUUAUUUAUGGCGUUCGUGGAGAACACAGGUUGAGCACAAGAAGGAGAGAGUGGCGGCCAAAACAUACACGACAUGGAACAGGGUUCACAAUGCAACGAAUACAUGACUAGUUUGUGUGACUAGAUUGUGAAUCAAUUAUUUUUAAAUGCUUCAAAUUAAAUUUGAAGGAUUUAUUUGGAUUUUAGUAUGAUUUUGUGGAUUUGAAAAUAUUUAUGUUUGAUUUGGAUUUGUGUUUGCUUAUAUGAUUUAUGUUUAAUUUGGAUUUUGUACGGUGUUUAUAUAUGUUUUUUAUAAUUAUUCAAGAAGUUGGUUCGGUUAUUUUAUAAACAUAAAUAUUGAAUUAAGCAAAAAAUAAUACAUAAGGAUAAAAUGGUCAUUUUUAUCAACACAACUAUUCAGAGGUUCCAACCAAACAACCAACCAAUAUGUUAAAAAUUCAGACCUUCUUAGAACUUCAUACCUCCUAAAAAUUCAGAUUAUGCCAAAUAGCUCCUAUGACUUCUUCACUUAAAAUGACUAUAAUACCUCCAUAAGCUAAUCUUAACACUCUAAAAAAACUUAUUAACUUACAGCUUCUUGGCACCACAUAAGCUAAUCAAAACACCUUUUUAGGGAAAAAAAAAUUGUCACCUCAUAAGCUAAUAAACACUUUAUCAAAAAUUGCUUAUUAAGUUCAAUAAUUAAUUAAGUUUGUACUGCUUUACUAGCAAGAGGGUCCCAUUUUUUUAAUGGCUUUGAUUAGAAGUAUUAGAAGUAAUAGACAAGCUACUCAUACCAAGGCUCUCAUGUAAUUUAUUAAGUUGGAAUGGACAAUAGAUGUAUAAGAGUAAAAAAUAGAGGAAACCUUGGUGCAAAUAUAGAUCAAUGAUACUAACUUUCCCAAACAAUAAUCACCAUGGAAGUUUGCUGAGCUUUGGCUCUUUUCAAAAAAAAAAAAAAACAAUAAUCACCAUGGAAACAGUUUGUAGUAUAUACUUAUUUUGACAUUUCUAGAUUGUUAUUGCCGGUGUAUUUUGAUUAAAAGAGUAGAUUUUUGUAAAAUUUUCAUGCCCAUUAAUUAUUAUAUUUAUGUUAAUGACAAUCUUGAUUGGCAUAGGUUAAGCUAGGAGAUCCGAAUGUGGUUUCAAAUCCUAAAACACAUGUAGUAAAAAACGAUAUUAAAUGAAGGAAAACAACAUAUUUGACAUUGAAAGUCAAAAUUCAUCCCAUGAACUUUGAACAUUGAUCCUAUAAGAUAGGGUAUACUGUAUACUUCAGAAGCCACCAGCAAAACAGUAACCAACUUUGAGCUUAGUAAAACACCAAACUGUAAUUAAUGGCAACCAACUUUGAGAGACUAAGUACAAUGAUUAUAAAAUAUCAGAUUGUAACAAUAUAUGAACUUUUAAGAUUACUCAACAGAAGGUUAAACUUUCCAAUAAAAAAACUACAUAAAAUGCUGUUAACUAACUCCAUUUUAAGACAUAUUUUGUCCCAAUUAAUGCAAGGCGUAUAAUGUAUACAUCAUUAGAAGAAGGAAAAGGAAAAAGGUCCAAAGCAAUGUUGAUUGUUCAUGUUACAAAUAAUAAAACAAGUUGAUGGUUUAAGAAAAAGAUUAAGCACAAGUCAUAAACCUAAUUCGUCUUAAAAUGGAUUCAAUUGCAAAAAUCAACACAAGUCAUAAUCAAAGGCAUAACAAGAAAGCUGUAAGAAUAAAAUUGAAAAAGAUGGAAGUGGGGGUUUAGAUGAUUUUGAGGACAAUGUUACAACGGAAGCAUCAGGCCAAGUCCAAGAGUAAGAAGGGUUCGCACCUUAGACAAUCAAUAGUGUGCCGGUUGUUGUUGUGCUCUGAUAAGUCAAUUCAUAAGCCACCGUUUCCCGCUGUUAGUUUACAGGUCUGGAUGGAAACAGAUAUUCUAGUGGCUCGCUCUUCAAGAGGUCGCUGCC